UACGGAGGGGGCUAGCGUUGUUCGGAAUUACUGGGCGUAAAGCGCACGUAGGCGGCUUUGUAAGUUAGAGGUGAAAGCCCGGGGCUCAACUCCGGAAUUGCCUUUAAGACUGCAUCGCUAGAACGUCGGAGAGGUAAGUGGAAUUCCGAGUGUAGAGGUGAAAUUCGUAGAUAUCUGGAGGAACACCAGUGGCGAAGGCGGCUUCCUGGCCUGUAACUGACGCUGAGACGCGAAAGCGUGGGGAGCGAACCGG
rnacentral:rRNA from 1 species